AGUGAAGCGGGAAGAAGCUCAAAUUUGAAAUCUGGCCGGGUUACCGGUCCGAGUUGUAGUUUACAGAAGUGUUUUCGGCGGCAACCUGGGUACAAGUCCUUUGGAACAGGGCAUCAUAGAGGGUGAGAAUCCCGUCCAUGACCCAGUGGAUGCUGCUAUGUGAUACACUUUCAAAGAGUCGAGUUGUUUGGGAUUGCAGCUCAAAAUGGGUGGUAAAUUUCAUCUAAAGCUAAAUACAGGCGAGAGACCGAUAGCGAACAAGUACCGUGAGGGAAAGAUGAAAAGAACUUUGAAAAGAGAGUUAAACAGUGCGUGAAAUUGUUGAAAGGGAAACGUUUGGCACCAGUCGUGCGUUCAGGAAAUCAGUCUAUCGAAGUGGGGAGUUGCAGGAGUUUGGACCGCAAGGCCAGCUUUUGCUGCAUUCUUGUUUGGAUGGAUGCACUUUUCUGUAUGCAGGUCAACAUCAGUUUUGUUCGCCGGACAAAACCCUAAGGGAAUGUGACAGCUUUGGCUGUGUUAUAGCUCUGGGGCGAUACGGUGGAUGGGACUGAGGCUUUCAGUGUGUGCUUUCGGGCAAGGCUGACCGGGUGCUAUGAGACAGUACGGAGUACAAUACAUGUAUUUUGCUUCGUGUCUGGCUUGUACUCGCUCGAAUCAGCUCUUCCACGCUUAGGAUGUUGACAUAAUGGUUCUAAACGACC
rnacentral:rRNA from 2 species